UUUUGAGUAUGCCCGCUGUACAAUUCC
rnacentral:miRNA from 1 species